GGGGGUGUAAUGGCUUCGACAGACAUCCUAAUCAUUGAUUUGCAGUGGUUUGAUAAACCUUAAUAUCACUAGGCUUUUUAAGCGCAAACGAAAACAAAAAAGUUGAAACAGCUUACAUGAACAAUGUAAACUCAUUCAACACACAAUACCUAUUUGCUUAAUUUAUAAAAUAGGCAGACCUACAAAUUAGCUCGGUUUGUAAUUCGUCUGAUUGGAGAGCUUGGCAAAAUAAAGUUAGCAUAUAUUUUGCGACAUUUAUGCUAAAGUUAGCAGAGAAGUUUUUUAGUUUACUAUCUUCACUAACUGCUUAUAAAACUGAAUAAACUUGUAGACGAUCAAUGCCUAAGAUGUGUGGACCGGGGUUCAAUUCCCCGCAUCUCCACCA
rnacentral:tmRNA from 1 species